AGAUUAUGAAUGCAAUCCAUGGUGGACGGUAGACUUGCAGGCACAGUAUCAAGUAGCCCAUGUAAGCAUCACCAAUCAGGAAGACUGUUGUGCUCACCGUCUUAAUGGGGCUGAAAUCCCAAUUGGGAACUCCACAGAGAGAGGAGGCACCACAAAUCCUAGAUGUGCUGUAAUAAAUUCUUUGGAUGCUGGGGAAACACACAGUUUUUACUGCGAAGCGUCAAAAGGGCAGUUUGUUACAAUUACCCUACCAAGGGGCGGAUACCUCACGCUUUGUGAAGUCCAGGUGUUUGGUCAGAAGAUAGAUUCCAGUGCCGGCCAUGAGCCAGAGAAGAACAAGCCACUCACACCAGGAGAACAAGUUAACACUUCUGGUAAGUAGACCA